rnacentral:rRNA from 1 species
UGCCUACGGGGGGCAGCAGUGAGGAAUAUUGGUCAAUGGGCGGAAGCCUGAACCAGCCAAGUCGCGUGAGGGAAGAAGGCCCUGCGGGUCGCAGACCUCUUUGGACGGGGAGCAAGGCCGCCGACGUGUCGGCGGAAGGAGAGUACCCGUAGAACAAGCAUCGGCUAACUACGUGCCAGCAGCCGCGGUAAUACGUAGGUGGCAAGCGUUGUCCGGAUUUACUGGGUGUAAAGGGCGUGUAGCCGGGUUGACACGUCAGAUGUGAAAUCCUGCGGCUUGACCGCCGCACUGCAUUUGCAACUGUU